GAGACCGCGGCGGCGCAGAGGGCCGGGGAGUGCGGCCGUCGGGGCGUGGAGGGUGCUGGGAGCGCACUGGGGACCCGAGGAGUGCGGGGCGGGGUGGCGGAGCUAGAGCAGCUACAGCAGGUGUGUGUGUUUGGUGGGGGGCAGUUUGCCAGCCCCCAAGGGGCUGUUCAGGGAACCUGGGUGUAUGUCUGAUGUUUUCCCGUCUUGUCUGGCUGUCUUUCUCUCUCUCUCUCUGCAGAGCUGGAAUGGAACCCUUGGCCUCAUGCGUGCAAGGCAAGCGCUCUACUACUGAGCCCCAACUUGAGUGGGAUCUUGCAGGGAGGUUUGGAUCCCCUGCACUCGGGUCUGGUGCAGGCUACUGAAGGCUGUUGAGCCUCUCCCCGCCCCACCCGCAUAGGCAGCCUCGCCUCACCUGGUUCUCCCAGCCUCAGCAGCCGCAGCCGCAGCUGAAGCUGGAGGGAGAGGUUUAAUUGGCAGGCUUUUGGGUUAAGGAGAAAUACUGCUUUGCUGGGGUGGGGACUAGUGGAUGGAGGGGGAAGGGGGUUGGAAAAAUACUGAGAGAACCGGCAAAUACAGCCAGGCAACAACAGGAUAUGGAGGCCGCAGAGACACAGGAGGAAGGGAGAGGGGCCUUGCCAGGCUGGCUUGUGCCACUGCCUAGCAGAGGCCCUCAUCCCCCCCUCCAUGCUGGGGACCACCCAGCCUCCCUGCAUCUGCACAGGGCUUAUCUGGGACAUUUAUUCAUUUAAUUUUAUUACUGUACUGUGGGUACAGUGCCUGCCAACUCUAACGCCUUGUCAGUGUUACCCCGAAAGUCCCCUCUCUAGGCUGGGAGUUACAGCAUAAUGAAACCCAGAGAACUCUGCCCUGUCCCUCACUUAGUAAUGACUGAUCUGAAGGCCUCUGAACAAGGGUCUCCUGGGACCACCAUGCCUCAGCUGGGCCAAGCACAGACAACCCUGGUGAGAUGUCGAAUGGAAACCUUGCUACAGGACUUCAUAGGGGUGGGUGGGAGCCACCUACCUGACCCAUUAAACGGCCAAGAAGAUUGAAAAUCAGAGAGGGAGGGUGAGAAUGCUGGGUCACCCAGCAGAUGAGUAAUGGAACCUGAGAUUCUGGCUGUGUGAAGAGUCAAGGGGAUAAAAGGUGGAAAUGUGCUUGGUAAACUGAAAGAAGUGCCCACAGAAGCAAAAACUAACAGGCAUUAUUCAAAUAUAAAUAAAAAAUAAACAACAUCAUUAUGUAAAUAAAACAUAACCUCAGUCAAAGAAAUCAUACAACUCUAUAUCUCCUGUUGUUCUCCAAAUGUGCUCCAUUAAGAUCCUAAAGUCACCACUUGGAGGAAAAAAUGCGCCAAUUUCUGGACUAAAUGAACUCCCCUCAGUCCAUUCCUAUUGUACAGUGGCUUCAUCCCUGGGUUUCUUCUUAAUAGCACUUAGGAAAAAUGCACUCAAGUACAUAUUUGUUCUUAUCUUUUAUUACUAAAUGAGUAUUACUUUAUGUCAUAGUAAGAAUAAUCAUUAAAAUACUUGGCAUAAUAAAUACCUGAAAGACAUUUUAUUUUAUGAAUGUAUUUUUCUUUCUUGCCAUAAUGGGGACAUUAUGAAUCAUACAUUUGUAUUAAUGACAUUUCUUAAAACAAAGCAAUGUAUGUAUGCAACUGUAAACUAAACAAAUCUACAAACUAUUGUAGGCAUCUGGAAAUUCUGUUGUAGGUUCUUUGUUGGAGUGUUUUAAUCAGUAGAUUCUGUUGUGAAUGCAUUUGUACAUUGUUAGGAUACUUUUAAAGAUGUUUAGUUGGAUAAAUGUCUUUGUUGGAGUGAUAGCUUGGAAGUUGCACAACUUUUUAUUUGUACAAAACUCUAUUGUUUAAAAAAAAAAAUCA
ensembl:lincRNA